GACGACCGCUGGCGGCGUGCUUAACACAUGCAAGUCGAGCGGAAAGGCCCUUCGGGGUACUCGAGCGGCGAACGGGUGAGUAACACGUGAGUAACCUGCCCCAGACUUUGGGAUAACCCUCGGAAACGGGGGCUAAUACCGGAUACGACACAGCUUCGCAUGGGGUCUGUGUGGAAAGUUUUUCGGUUUGGGAUGGGCUCGCGGCCUAUCAGCUUGUUGGUGGGGUGAUGGCCUACCAAGGCGACGACGGGUAGCCGGCCUGAGAGGGCGACCGGCCACACUGGGACUGAGACACGGCCCAGACUCCUACGGGAGGCAGCAGUGGGGAAUAUUGCACAAUGGGCGGAAGCCUGAUGCAGCGACGCCGCGUGAGGGAUGACGGCCUUCGGGUUGUAAACCUCUUUCAGCAGGGACGAAGCGUAAGUGACGGUACCUGCAGAAGAAGCGCCGGCCAACUACGUG
rnacentral:rRNA from 1 species